rnacentral:lncRNA from 1 species
GGUGUCCGUGAAAACGAGCAGCUGCUUUAGCUGACGACUCAGAUGCAGGCACGCUCCCCUGAGAGAUGAGGGCCAUGUCAUCCCUCUGGGCAGAGGACUCCCUGGAGGCCUCAUCUCAUCCCACCCAGCCCAAGACCCCAUCUCCCAGGCCUGGGGUUCAACACAAGGAAUCAUUUCUCCUGCUUCCCUCGUAAGUGAAGGUAGCUUUUUGUUUAGUGCUGAGGGAUUGACCCUGGGAGAGACCCUGCCCAGCACGGCCCGGCCUCUGCCUGGUUCCCACGCCGGCGCCGGCAGUUUUACCACCUUGGGCAGCUUUUGCCACAUCCGUGCAAUGCCAGCUCCAUGAAAUCAGUGAAUAUCACCUUAGUGUGCUCGUCAAUGUAGAUCUCCCCUCUCAGACUGCCGCAGGGGUCCCAGGGACCCACAGGGGGCCACACGCCAACUCCAGAACUGCCCAAAACUUGGAAGUAUCCCCAGUGCCCAUGAAGAGUGGGACGGACACUCAGCACUGACACGGAGGCCCCGGCAGCCGCCCCGCGAAGAGUGGGACAGACACUCAGCACUGACACAGAGGCCACGGCAGCCACCCCAUGAAGAGUGGGACAGACACUCAGCACUGACACAGAGGCCACAGCAGCCACCCCAUGAAGAGUGGGACGGACACUCAGCACUGACACGGAGGCCCAGGCAGCCGCCCCGUGAAGAGUGGGGCACUCAGCACUGACACGGAGGCCACGGCAGCCACCCCACGAGGAGUGGGACAGACACUCAGCACUGACACAGAGGCCACAGCAGCCACCCCAUGAAGAGUGGGACGGACACUCAGCACUGACACGGAGGCCACGGCAGCCACCCCACGAGGAGUGGGACAGACACUCAGCACUGACACAGAGGCCACGGCAGCCACCCCAUGAAGAGUGGGACAGACACUCAGCACUGACACAGAGGCCACAGCAGCCACCCGAUGAAGAGUGGGACGGACACUCAGCACUGACACAGAGGCCACGGCAGCCAC